GUGCUCAUUUCGGCAGCAUGGACACUCAGUUUGGAACAACACAGAAAAGGUUGACAUGGCUCCUGUGCAGGGAUGAGGUACAAAGUCAUGAAGCAUUCCAUAUUUUC